GGAACACCGGUGAAAUUCCGGGGCUGUACCCGCAACUGUAACAGCAGAGCUUUUCUGUGCUGAAGCCAGAUAC
rnacentral:ncRNA from 17 species